rnacentral:rRNA from 1 species
GGGCCCGCACAAGCGGCGGAGCAUGCGGAUUAAUUCGAUGCAACGCGAAGAACCUUACCUGGGUUUGACAUAUACGAGAAGCCUCUAGAGAUAGAGGUCUCUUUGGACACUCGUAUACAGGUGGUGCAUGGCUGUCGUCAGCUCGUGUCGUGAGAUGUUGGGUUAAGUCCCGCAACGAGCGCAACCCUCGUCCUAUGUUGCCAGCACGCCCUUCGGGGUGGUGGGGACUCAUGGGAGACUGCCGGGGUCAACUCGGAGGAAGGUGGGGAUGACGUCAAAUCAUCAUGCCCCUUAUGUCUUGGGCUUCACGCAUGCUACAAUGGCCGGUACAAAGGGCUGCAAUACCGUAAGGUGGAGCGAAUCCCAAAAAGCCGGUCCCAGUUCGGAUUGAGGUCUGCAACUCGACCUCAUGAAGUCGGAGUCGCUAGUAAUCGCAGA